AUUGAACGCUGGCGGCAUGCCUUACACAUGCAAGUCGAACGGUAACGCGGGGCAACCUGGCGACGAGUGGCGAACGGGUGAGUAAUGCAUCGGAACGUGCCCAGUAGUGGGGGAUAGCCCGGCGAAAGCCGGAUUAAUACCGCAUACGACCUACGGGUGAAAGCGGGGGACUCGCAAGGGCCUCGCGCUAUUGGAGCGGCCGAUGUCAGAUUAGCUAGUUGGUGGGGUAAAGGCCUACCAAGGCGACGAUCUGUAGCUGGUCUGUGAGGACGACCAGCCACACUGGGACUGAGACACGGCCCAGACUCCUACGGGAGGCAGCAGUGGGGAAUUUUGGACAAUGGGCGCAAGCCUGAUCCAUCCAUGCCGCGUGCGGGAAGAAGGCCUUCGGGUUGUAAACCGCUUUUGUCAGGGAAGAAACGCUCUGGGUUAAUACCUCGGGGUAAUGACGGUACCUGAAGAAUAAGCACCGGCUAACUACGUGCCAGCCGCCGCGGUAACAC
rnacentral:rRNA from 1 species